ACUCACUUGACGAGUCCCAAAUAAGACGAAAUGUGCAUCCUGAUU
rnacentral:hammerhead_ribozyme from 1 species